CAUGUUUCAGAUGAACCAAUUCAGCCACCACCAGGUCCAUAAUCAUCAUCAUCAUCAUCAUCUCCUCCUCCUCCUUUUCCCGUCAUUUUUUCAUCAUACAUUGUCACAAUGUUGAUAUCAAAAGCUGUAACUUCAAUGGAUUUGAUCUUUUGUUAUGCAGUUGUAAUCGGCACCAAGUAAAUCAGUGUCAAGGAUGUACAGUAUAGUGUUCCUGACAUUGGAAAACCUUCAUAGUGCUGAUUCAGAGAUGAAGAAGAUUUUGCAAGGUGUUAACCUGUUAACUUUCUUCCACUGGCCUCUUGCAUAGCAUGAGGCCAUGUAUGGACCUCAAAUCUGCUGCAACAGCAUCUAAUUCCACUCUUAAUUUUAAACCUAAUCAUGCAUUCAUCUUAGGUGAUGGAAUAGGGAAGCAAGUGUACUAAGUCCCUACGUCCAUCACUGCCAUACAAAUUGAAGGUGACUUUUGGUCAUAGAAAUAUUUAUAUAUUAAUUGUACUAUUCUAAACCAUGCUGACCACCUUAUGAGAAGGAAGGACUCACUGGGGAAGAGCCUAACGUUGGGAACAAUUGAAGGCAAAAGAAGAAUGGGAUGACAGAGAAUGAGGUGGCUGGAUGGAGUCACUGAAGCAGUCGGUGUGAGCUUAAAUGGACUCCAGAGGAUGGUAGAGGACAGAAAGGCCUGGAGGAACGUUGUCCAUGGGGUAGCGAUGGGUCGGACAUGACUUCGUGGCUAACAACAACAAAACCAUGCUGAGAGCUUUUUCAAGGAGCCCAGACUUCUUCCCAGCAAAUAACCCCCCCUCCCUAUUCUAAGAAAGAUAUGAAUAGUAAUGGUGAAAAUAGAACUCUUCUGGAAUUUGCCCUAUUUCUGGUUUUAAUCGUAAUAAGCACA